rnacentral:tRNA from 1 species
GCGCCCGUGGUGUAACUGGACAGCAUGGGCGGCUUCUAACCGCCAGGUUGGGGGUUCGAGUCCUCCCGGGCGCA